ACCCUCUAGACUCCUUACGCCUUGCAUCUAAAUAUUGGUCGGAGUGGCUGAAAACAAGGAGGACAACUCAUAUUGACGUGGACUUCGCGGCUUUAGUGCCCUACAAGGCCAUUUCGAACAUGA
rnacentral:snoRNA from 1 species